rnacentral:rRNA from 1 species
UACGAAGGGGGCUAGCGUUGUUCGGAUUAUUGGGGUUUAAAGGGUGCGUAGGCGGCUUUGUAAGUCAGUGGUGAAAUAUGGCAGCUCAACUGUCAAGGUGCCAUUGAUACUGCGGAGCUUGAGUACAGAUGAGGUAGGCGGAAUUUACGGUGUAGCGGUGAAAUGCGUAGAUAUCGUAAGGAAGACCAGUGGCGAAGGCGGGUCUCUGGACAGUUCCUGACGCUGAGGCACGAAGGCCAGGGGAGCAAACGGG